rnacentral:rRNA from 1 species
CAGCAUGCCGCGGUGAAUACGUUCCCGGGCCUUGUACACACCGCCCGUCACACCAUGAGAGUCGAUAACACCCGAAGCCUGUAGUCUAACCAUAUGGGGGACGCAGUCGAAGGUGGGGAUUGAUAAUUAGGGUGAAGUCGUAACAAGGUAAC